UACGUAGGGGGCGAGCGUUGUCCGGAGCUACUGGGCGUAAAGCGCACGCAGGCGGUCUGCUAAGUUUGGAGUGACAGUUGGUGGCUUAACUGCCAAAGUGCUUCGAAAACUGACAGACUUGAGGGCUUCAGAGGGACACGGAAUUCCGGGUGGAGUGGUGAAAUGCGUAGAGAUCCGGAGGAACACCAAAGGCGAAGGCAGUGUCCUGGGGAGUACCUGACGCUCAGGUGCGAAAGCCAGGGGAGCGAACGGG
rnacentral:rRNA from 1 species